GGGAAUGGAUGGGGUCUGGUGGCCUCUCUGGUCUUCAAAACCAGCAUGGGGUGCGUAGAGCGUCCCAGGUGGGUUCGAUUCCCACACGUUCCCGCCA
rnacentral:tRNA from 1 species